GGUCUGGUGGUGUAGUUGGUUAUCACGUCAGUCUAACACGAGGCAAGCCUCGCUGUACACUGAAGGUCUCCGGUUCAAGUCCGGGCUAGAUCA
rnacentral:tRNA from 1 species